GGGGGCAGAUAUAACAUGUGCAGAGAGAGUUAGAUCUGGGUGGGUUAUUUUGUUUCUGUGUAGGGUAAAUACUGGCUGCUUUAUUUUUACACUGCAAUUUAGAUUUCAGUUUGAACACACCCCACCCAAAUCUAACUCUCUCUGCACAUGGUAUAUGCGCACCCCCCACCCCCUCCCUUCCCCCAUCCUACCCGCGCAGUGCACAUGGUUUUGCCGAUUAGAGAACAAUGUUGCUUCUGCAAUCAGGUCUGAAUUAGGCUCAAUGUUGCCAGUUAUCCAUAACUUCAGUGUUCAGGAUAACUAAUCUGGUUCAAUACAUCAUUAUCAUAUUCAGUAAACAGGUCUUGAUAGCAAUUGUAUCACUGCAUGUAACAUGCUUAGAUAACAUUUUAAAAUGUUGACACCUACAUAGACAGUGAUACAUUGCAAUUGUAGACAUGAUAUAUUUACUAAAGUGUGGGUUUUUAGUAGUGGAGAUGUUGUCAAUAGCAACCAAUCAGAUUCUACUUAUUUACCUAGGACCUUUUAGAAGGUAAUAGCUAGAAUCUGAUUGGUCUACACUUCUAAAAACCUGCAGUUAAGUAAAUAUACCCCCAAGUCUCUGGAAACUUAAAAUAUUGGCAAGUAUGCUGUUGCUUUAAGCUUGGACAAAAUAAGUACACAAGGAAUAGUUUCCAUGGUAACUGGUAUUAUUAAUAAACACAUUUUCACAGGUAACUGAGUGGACGGUGAGGCAGCCAUAACAGCCAAUCAGAUUAUGCAAUUUUGUUGGUGCAGUUCAGAAAGAAUUGGAUUGGUUGCUUGUUAAGGGUGACAUUACUUUGUGUUUUUUAAUAUGUCACACAUAGUACCUAUACCAGGAUCAGUACGAAAUCCCGCCGGACGGGAUCCCGGCGGUCGGAAUACCGACACCGGAAUCCCGACCGGCACAAUCCCGACAGGGGGGCAAGUGCAACGCAGCCCCUUGCGGGCUUGCUGCGCUCGCCACGCUGCGGGCACGGCGCCUCGCCACGCUCGGCACACUAAUUUCUUCUUCCUCUAUGGGUCUCGUGGACAACCACAGAGAGAGAAUAUGUUGGGAUUGUGCCGGUCGGGAUUCCGGUGUCGGGAUUCCGACUGCUGGGAUUCCGUCCGGCGGGAUCUUGACCACAUCCCCCUAUACCUAUUUAAAACAAAGGGCAAGUUAAACUUGUUCUGUAACUCAUAACAACUAGUCAAAUUGGUAAAAGUUGGCAUCUGAUUGGUUGGUAUGGUUUACAGUAUUUAGAGGUCUAUUUGUUGUUUAGAGAAAAGCUUAACUCCCUAUUUAAGAAGCCCCCCAGUCUGUGAUAACCUUCGCCAGCUAUCUCCAGCGUUCUAUUUAUGAUGUAUGGUAUUGUGCCACAGUCUCCUCAUUGCUCUCGGUUUAAAUAACGCCAUUUGGGGCAGAUUUAACAACAUGUGAUAUUAUUGUUAUCACUCAUUAUGAAUGUUAAAUGGUACCCCAGCCAAUCAGCUCCUAACUGUCAUUUUUUCAAAGACAUAACAGUUAGGAACCGAUUGGCUGAAGCACCAGUCAACAUUCGUAACGAGUGAUAACAAGAAAUCACUCGUUAAAUCUGCCCCUUUAUUGUUUGCUAAAUGUAUUAAAAUAUUUUUUUUUACAUCUAUUUUUUUAACCAUUUGUUUUGUUUUGUUUUGUUGAGAAUCUACUACUGGAAACCCAAGUUUGUGAUAAGUGGCAAUAGGACUUUUUUUUUUUUCUGUAGCUGCUAUUUGAAAAUAGACCCUAUGAUUUUCCUGUGCAGGAUGCUUUUGCAUAAGCUGCAUUAGUUACUGCAUAUUCUUUAAUAAUAAUGGUCAAAUUCCAUAUAGUCUUCUGUUUUGGUAUGUUACCUAAAACAUACUAAAUCCUCUGUAUAGAGCAAUAUUGAUACAAGUCUGAAGACACCAACAGUUUUAAAAAGUGAAUUUUCUUGUAAGUGAACAAAAAAAAUGAUAGCAUAUUGCAGAGGUUUUCAAAUGCGACACUCAGGGCACUCCAAUUAAGUCACUUGUGGCCAAGUAUAGAUAAACUUAAACCUGGAAUGUUGGGGUGUCGUGAGGACAGCGUUUGAGAACCUCUGGCAUAUUGUAUGGAGAAAAUAUAGGCUACCUUUAUUUUUAUAUAUCUGACGUAAAUUGUCAUAUUGGUCUGAUCAAGGGAUGCAGCGGGGGGAAAAACCCUCAAAUAUGAAAUAGACACAUUAUAUUGCUAAGGAUUCAGAUUUAGAGCUGCAGUUGCUACUAUGUAUUGUAGAUAUUAAGCUUAUGGCAGCAAUUUGAAAUGAAUACUUCAUAUAUAUUAUUGAUUGCCUAAUAGAUGUACGUGGACUUUAUGCUUAUUUUCUAACUGAGCAUCAGUAUAUUUGAGGUAUAUUUGAGAGAGGCAGCAAAUUAAUGUUUGUAACGUACAGACAGUGAAUGCAGCCAGUUCGUGGACUGAACCAAAUUUCUAAACCAACUGAUCAUUCCGCUACGAGUUAUUGUUUCCUCACAAAGAUAAGCAAAGUUUAAAAAAUGUCACGCGUUUCACCGCCAUCAUUUGCUUGCAAGUGUUUCCAGUUCUAUCCCAAUGACAUGAUUACAAUAAUCCAUUUAUUGUACGGUUAGUUAAUGUCAGGCAUUUAUACAGAAGGAACAUACUAAUAGUAAAUAGUAGAUUCAGGUUUACCUGUGAUAAAACAUACAAAGCACCCUGUUUUAAAAGAAAACCAAUAAAUAAGGUUUUUGUUUUAUAGGGCAUACUGGGUAAAACUGCAUGGACACUAAUGGUACAGCCAAUAUAUUGCAAUGGGGGCAUAUUGUCUCUCAAAACAAUAGUUUUAUUAAAGAGGACUUUUUGCAAUGUUUCCUCUAAUAUGAAUCCACUGCCAAGAUAGAUGUACAGUAUAAAUACACAAGACUUAUCAGAUAUGAUCUGGGUAAUAAAGGUACCUGGACCUUGGUACCUUUAUGCUGUCUCCUUCCCGAAACUGAACAAUCCAAGGUUUGCAAGAGUUCUCACUUGUUUUAGGAAAGGUACACACACAUUAAUAUAUAUAUAUAUAUAUAUAUAUAUAUAUAUAUACACAUAUAUAUAUAUACAUAUAUAUAUAUAUAUAUAUACACAGUAUAUACAUAUAUAUAUACAGUAUAUAUAUAUAUAUAUAUAUAUAUAUAUAUACAUACACUCUUUUUAUGCUUGUUUUGGAUCUCAAUGUAAAUUAGAGCACUUUCCAUUUAUGUCGUACUGUUUGAAUUCUGUCUAGUUUGUUUUCUGCAUUUUUAUUUUACAGAAAUUAAGUAACCAGGCCUGGUACCCAUUUAACCAUUCCUCUACUCGUCCAGCAGGGGAAGGGUUAAGUUUGUAAAGCCAUUUUGGCGAUUCUAUGUGCUAUUUAGAAAACACCUUUUUGUUUUUCUUGUUAUAUAAUGUAAUAUUGAAGAUGUUCCUAAAUAAAAGUUAUAUAAAUAA